rnacentral:rRNA from 1 species
CCGUCACACCAUGGGAGUCGGAAAUGCCCGAAGUCGGUGACUAACCCCUGGUGAGCAUGACCGUACAGACGUGAUAACAGAUCGAAGAUCUGUUAUAUACGCGAAAAAGAAGUACGGAGGUCGUGCUCAGCAGGGGGAAGGAGCCGCCGAAGGCAGGUCGGAUGACUGGGGUGAAGUCGUAACAAGGUAAC